rnacentral:rRNA from 1 species
GACGAACGCUGGCGGCGUGCUUAACACAUGCCAGUCGAACGGUGAAGCGCUUUCCUUUUUGGUUGGUGUGGAUGAGUGGCGAACGGGUGAGUAACACGUGAGUAACCUGCCCCCUUCUUCUGGAUAACCGCAUGAAAGUGUGGCUAAUACGGGAUAUUCUGCGCCUGCUGCAUGGUGGGUGUGGGAAAGAUUGUGCCUUUGGGUGUUUUCGGUGGGGGAUGGGCUCGCGGCCUAUCAGCUUGUUGGUGGGGUGAUGGCCUACCAAGGCGGUGACGGGUAGCCGGCCUGAGAGGGUGGACGGUCACACUGGGACUGAGACACGGCCCAGACUCCUACGGGAGGCAGCAGUGGGGAAUAUUGCACAAUGGGCGCAAGCCUGAUGCAGCGACGCCGCGUGAGGGAGGGAGGCCUUCGGGUUGUGAACCUCUUUCGCCAGUGAAGCAGGCCUGCUCCUUGUGGGUGGGUUGACGGUAGCUGGAGAAGAAGCGCCGGCUAACUACGUG